UACGUAGGGUGCAAGCGUUGUCCGGAAUUAUUGGGCGUAAAGAGCUCGUAGGCGGUCUGUCACGUCGGCUGUGAAAACCCGAGGCUCAACCUCGGGCCUGCAGUCGAUACGGGCAAACUAGAGUACUGCAGGGGAGACUGGAAUUCCUGGUGUAGCGGUGAAAUGCGCAGAUAUCAGGAGGAACACCGGUGGCGAAGGCGGGUCUCUGGGCCGUAACUGACGCUGAGGAGCGAAAGCAUGGGGGAGCGAACAGG
rnacentral:rRNA from 1 species